UACGAAGGGGGCUAGCGUUGUUCGGAUUUACUGGGCGUAAAGCGCACGUAGGCGGAUCUUUAAGUCAGAGGUGAAAUCCCAAGGCUCAACCUUGGAACUGCCUUUGAUACUGGGGAUCUUGAGUCCGGGAGAGGUGAGUGGAACUGCGAGUGUAGAGGUGAAAUUCGUAGAUAUUGGGAAGAACACCGGUGGCGAAGGCGGCUCACUGGCUCGCAACUGACGCUCAUGCACGACAGCGUGGGGAUCAAACAGG
rnacentral:rRNA from 1 species